UACGAAGGGGGCUAGCGUUGUUCGGAAUUACUGGGCGUAAAGCGCACGUAGGCGGGUUGUUAAGUCAGGGGUGAAAUCCUGGAGCUCAACUCCAGAACUGCCUUUGAUACUGGCAACCUAGAGACUGGAAGAGGUUAGUGGAAUUCCCAGUGUAGAGGUGAAAUUCGUAGAUAUUGGGAAGAACACCAGUGGCGAAGGCGGCUAACUGGCCCGAUACUGACGCUGAGGCACGAAAGCGUGGGGAGCAAACAGG
rnacentral:rRNA from 1 species